rnacentral:rRNA from 1 species
ACUGCUCAGUAACACGUAGCUAAUCUACCCUUAAGUCAAGAAUACCCUCGGGAAACUGAGGCUAAUACUUGAUAGGAGAUAUGCCCUGGAAUGACUUAUCUCUCAAAUUCGUGCUUAAGGAUGAGGCUGCGGCGGAUUAGGUUGUUGGCGGGGUAAUAGCCCACCAAGCCGAAGAUCCGUAAGGGCUCUUAGCGGAGAGGCCCUGAGAGGGAAUCUGAGACACUAUUCCCAGCCCUACGGGGUGCAGCAGUUAAGAAUAAUCUACAAUGCGCGCAAGCGUGAUAGUUUGAGCCAGAGUGCUUUCCAAAUUGGAAAGCUUUUGCCAAAUCUAAAAAUUUUGGCGAAUAAGGACUGGGUAAGACGAGUGCCAGCCGCCGCGGUAAUACUCGCGGUCCAAGUCGCAGCCAUUUUUAUUGGGUCUAAAACAUCCGUAGCUUGCUUAGUAAGUUUCUUGUGAAAUCUUAUCUCUCAAAGAUAGGGCGUGCAAGAAGUACUGCUAAGCUAGAGACUGGAAGACGUAAGAAGUACGUUCAAAGUAGUGGUAAAAUAUGUUAAUCUUGAGCGGACUCACAAGAGCGAAGGCAUCUUACGAGGACAGUUCUGACAGUAAGGGAUGAAGGCUAGGGGCGCAAAACGGAUUAGAUACCCGUGUAGUCCUGGCAGUAAACACUGCACACUAAACAUUAGUACCUCCUCGAGAGGUAUUGGUGCUGAAGGGAAGCCGAAGAGUGUGCUACCUGGGAAGUAUAGUCGCAAGGCCGAAACUUAAAGGAAUUGGCGGGGGAGCAC